AUUACUUCAUCUUUUAACCUGUCCCACAAGACAAGUCAGUCUGACCAAUCGUGGUUAGGACAAACUCUGCCCACACACCAAGAAACUCCCCUUUAUGUACUGCAGAGAUCUCUUAAAGAAAAAAAAAAAAACAACCUAGGAGACAAAAUCAGCGCAAUAUGUUUCUCAUGUCAGUGGAUGUUGUGUCCUUUAAAUGAAAAAAAUGCGUUGGUAAAUUUUGUGGAUGACGGCUACAUGUACUGAGUACUUAGAUUAUUAAAAAAUGAUUAUGAUAUCAGUGUUCCUACAAAUACUAAUUUUAAUAAAAAAACAUGUUGUAUUUGCAUCCUAUUUUCAGUGACUGAUGUCGGUGUGAGACCCUCAGACUUCAUCUGGGAUUUCGCAGAAGAACAAGCCUUUACAGCUUGUGAAAGUACUAAGAAGCUAAAUAAAGGUUAAGAACGCUGAAGAAAGAAAAAAAAGUGGGGGUCGGGAGCACAGAGCUUCACUGAAGAGCGAGCACGAGGCCAAUCAUCUCCACUCUCGCUCUCAGCGGUCCAUCUCAGGUAAGAGUUCAAGUGCCGCUGAGGGAUGUUGAUAUCACAUCAAAUCCACAUCUAACUUCACCCCCGAGGCAGGAAUAGCCAGAUUUGUAUUAAAACUGCUUGAGCACACCGGUAAAUGUCAAGGCAUUGAGUCUGCAGGACUACAGCACAACAUGCUCUGCUCACCUUAUGGUGCGACGGGAAAAUGUCAAGCGAAAGAUCAGCCGGACUAUUGACUUUACCAAUCGAACUCCGUUUAGUCAGGAGAUGUAAUUAUCAU